CAGCCGCCACGGGAAAACGAAGGGGGCUAGCGUUGCUCGGAAUGACUGGGCGUAAAGGGCGCGUAGGCGGUUUUGACAGUCAGAUGUGAAAUUCCUGGGCUUAACCUGGGGGCUGCAUUUGAGACGUCAAGACUAGAGUGUGAGAGAGGGUUGUGGAAUUCCCAGUGUAGAGGUGAAAUUCGUAGAUAUUGGGAAGAACACCGGUGGCGAAGGCGGCAACCUGGCUCAUUACUGACGCUGAGGUGCGAAAGCGUGGGGAGCAGACAGGAUUAGAGACCCGCGUAGUCCCUGUCUCUUAUAA
rnacentral:rRNA from 1 species